rnacentral:tRNA from 1 species
AAUUAUAUAGUCUAAAAAGGAUUUUAAAUUGCAAAUUUAAAGGUAAAAUUUUUUUAUAAUUU